AGCGAACGCUGGCGGCAGGCCUAACACAUGCGAGUCGAACGAAGUCUUCGGACUUAGUGGCGGAAGGGUGAGUAACACGUGGGAACGUACCUUUUGGUUCGGAACAACUCAGGGAAACUUGAGCUAAUACCGGAUGAGCCCUUAGGGGGAAAGAUUUAUCGCCGAAAGAGCGGCCCGCGUUAGAUUAGCUAGUUGGUGAGGUAAAGGCUCACCAAGGCUACGAUCUAUAGCUGGUCUGAGAGGAUGAUCAGCCACACUGGGACUGAGACACGGCCCAGACCCCUACGGGAGGCAGCAGUGGGGAAUCUUGCGCAAUGGGCGAAAGCCUGACGCAGCCAUGCCGCGUGAAUGAUGAAGGUCUUAGGAUUGUAAAAUUCUUUUACCAGGGACGAUAAUGACGGUACCUGGAGAAAAAGCCCCGGCUAACUUCGUGCCAGCCGCCGCAGUAAAAC
rnacentral:rRNA from 1 species